rnacentral:rRNA from 1 species
AAAUUGAAGAGUUUGAUCAUGGCUCAGAUUGAACGCUGGCGGCAGGCCUAACACAUGCAAGUCGAACGGUAACAGGAAGCAGCUUGCUGCUUCGCUGACGAGUGGCGGACGGGUGAGUAAUGUCUGGGAAACUGCCUGAUGGAGGGGGAUAACUACUGGAAACGGUGGCUAAUACCGCAUAACGUCGCAAGACCAAAGAGGGGGACCUUCGGGCCUCUUGCCAUCAGAUGUGCCCAGAUGGGAUUAGCUUGUUGGUGAGGUAACGGCUCACCAAGGCGACGAUCCCUAGCUGGUCUGAGAGGAUGACCAGCCACACUGGAACUGAGACACGGUCCAGACUCCUACGGGAGGCAGCAGUGGGGAAUAUUGCACAAUGGGCGCAAGCCUGAUGCAGCCAUGCCGCGUGUAUGAAGAAGGCCUUCGGGUUGUAAAGUACUUUCAGCGGGGAGGAAGGUGUUGUGGUUAAUAACCACAGCAAUUGACGUUACCCGCAGAAGAAGCACCGGCUAACUCCGUGCCAGCAGCCGCGGUAAUACGGAGGGUGCAAGCGUUAAUCGGAAUUACUGGGCGUAAAGCGCACGCAGGCGGUCUGUCAAGUCGGAUGUGAAAUCCCCGGGCUCAACCUGGGAACU